UCCCUCAUAGCUCAGUCGGGAAAGAAUCUGCCUGCAAUGCAGGAGACCUAGGUUCAAUUCCUGGGUCGGGAA
rfam:Ovis aries breed Texel chromosome 10, whole genome shotgun sequence.